rnacentral:rRNA from 1 species
AGCAGCCGCGGUAAUUCCAGCUCCAAUAGCGUAUAUUAAAGUUGUUGCAGUUAAAAAGCUCGUAGUUGAAUUUCGGGGUCAAUAAGUUGGUCAUGCCAAUGGUAUGCACUGGCUUUAUUGAUUCCUACCUCUUGACGAACUGUGAUGCCAUUAAUUUGGUGUUGCAAGGAAUCAGGACUGUUACCUUGAAAAAAUUAGAGUGUUUAAAGCAAGCUUACGCUUGAAUACAUUAGCAUGGAAUAAUGAAAUAGGACGUUUGAUCCUAUUUUGUUGGUUUCUAGGAUCGACGUAAUGAUUAAUAGGGAUAGUUGGGGGCAUUAGUAUUCAAUUGUCAGAGGUGAAAUUCUUGGAUUUAUUGAAGACUAACUACUGCGAAAGCAUUUGCCAAGGAUGUUUUCAUUAAUCAAGAACGAAAGUUAGGGGAUCGAAGACGAUCAGAUACCGUCGUAGUCUUAACCAUAAACCAUGCCGACUAGGGAUCGGAUGAUGUUAAUUUUUAAUGACUCAUUC